UUAUAUCAGCGUAUCACUACAAAAAAACAUGGUUUUUCUAAAGGUUUUGUGCAAAAAAACCCUCCAAUUAAUUUUUUUUGCAAGAAUACCUUCCACAUCAAAUAAAUGCAAAUCAAUACUAUCAUCUCAAAAGUCACCCGCAAUAUAACCCUUCUCGAUGAGGUGGCAGAAUAAAAAUCUGGUUGUUUUGAGGGGAAAAACGACAAAACAUUAAAAUUUAUUUAUUUUUAAUUAAAAAAUAAUUAUAUCUUUGUCUUCUUCCUCCAUCUCUGCAAGUUCCUCACUCGAUUACGAUUGCAAUUCUUAGAUUCCAAAAUUGUUUCCUUAUAUUUAAAAUUCGUCUUCUCUCUCGUUGUUUUUUUAGAUCGAAAGUUAUAGGAAAGAAACUUAAGGAUCCAAUCAAGUGCUUUAUGAAGAUAAUAUUUUUCUAAAAAAAAAAAGGAAUUAAUGGAUGUUGAUGUCGACUGUACCGGACAGCCGGAGAUGAGAUCGCUGCUUGUGUGGAGAACGUGAACACUGAUAGCAGAUCCCCAAGAGACGAGAAGCAUCUUGAGGUCUUGGGUUACUUCAAUCCUUUGCCAAGUGAUUAACAGAACAAAAAUGUAUUCCUUUGUGGUGUGAAGUUGAUUUUUUGAUCUCUUAGCAUCUCUCGGUUUGUGUGUGCAGGCGAGGACGGUUGUAUGAGAAUGGGUCUGAAACUCGAUUGUUUUGGGUAAUUGUUUAAGUUAGCUCUAGAUAAUAUCAGUCAUGGUUUAGCUUGGCUGCCUUUGAAAAUCUUAGUGUCCAGUAAGGAACUUGCAGAGAUGGAGGAAGAAGACAAAGACAUAAUUAUUUUUUUAAUUAAAAAUAAAUAAAUUUUAAUGCUUUGUCGUUUUUUUCCCUCAAAAACAACAAGAAUUUUAUUCUGCCCCCUCAUCAAUAUAGAGAAGGGUUAUAUUGCGGGUGACUUUUGAGAUGAUAGUAUUGACCUGCAUUUAUUUGAUGUAGAAGGUAUUCUUGCAAAAAAAUAUUAAUUGGAGGAUUUUUUUGCACAAAACCCUUUUUCCAACUACAAAUGGCGACUACAUAUGUAGUUGCUAUUUUUAGCGACUAUUUAGCAACUAUUUGGCAACAAUUUUACGACUACAAAAAUUUAGUGAUAUAAUAGUCGUUAUUUUGCGACUGUUUACAGUAGUCGGUAAUUUAGUCAUAAUUUAACGACUAUUUUAUGACUAUAUUGCAUAACAGAACAUGUAGUUGUGAAAUAGUCGUUAAUUUAACGACUAUGAUGCGACUCAUGGUAAAGGUCGCCAAUAAGUCGUAUAUCAGUCGCUAUUUAAGAACAUCAAAAUUUUCAAAAUUUAACUCCACACCCUUAACCAAACUCCAAAACCUAAAUCAUAAACUUAAAGCUUAAAUCUUGAAUUCAAUUCUUAAUCUUAGAAAUUAUUUUGUAAACCAUAAAACUAAAACAUAACCAUUCUUAUAUAUACAUAAAACCAAGUUUUAAUGCUUAAAGUAAAAUCUAAUUUUUCCAAAACUUAACCCUAAACCCUAUACCCCCAAACCUUUAACCAAACUUCAAAACCUAGAUCAUCAAAUCUAAAUCUUGAAGUUUAAAUUCUUAAUCUUCUAAAAAUUAAUUCAUAAACCAUAAAACCAAACCAUAACCAUUAUAUAUAUAUAUAUAUAUCAUAAAGCAAAGCUUUAAUAUCUAUAAUUUUCCAAAUCUUAUAUUUUUACCAAAACUUAACCCCAAACCCCAAACUAAAGCUCCAAAACCCUUAACCUUAAAUUUAAAACCUUUAUAGUUCAUAUAUAGAAAUUAAAUCAUAAAUCAUUCACCCAAAAGGCCAAAAUAUAACCACUGAAUAUCUAUAAAACCAAUAUGUAAAACUAUUUAGUAUUUACAUAUAAAUCAAUAUUUCCAACAACUAUAUACUUACAAAAUUUAUUAAACUUAGUCAUUUUAAAACCUAAAACAAAUUAUUUUUAAAUCUAAAUCAAAUAUAAUAUUCUUCUAAAUUUCAAAACCCCAGUUCCCAAAUCAUAAAUUUCAAAUCUCAUUUCCUGAAUUAUAGACCCAGAAUUGCAAAAUAUAUUAUAAGUAUAAAGUUUUGAUCCAACAAAUUACUCUUUAAAAUAUGAAAGCUUUUUAUUGGAUGAUAUGUAAACACAUGGAUUACACUAUCAACCUUUGAUUAAUUUAAUCCAAUGGACAAGGUUUUUUCCUACUCUUCUUUCUCUUUCGUCUCCUUCACCGAGGGAUUACCUUUCUCUGCAACGGACAAGUUUUUAGAUUUGGUACCAUAGCAUUUUUGCGGAUCUCAGAUCCAAGAGCGAAGCUCGUCAUACUGCUCCGCCACUCAGGACACACUACCAAAGGACUCCAAUCCUCAUCAUUGGGCAAUUCAAGACGCAAGUGGUGUGUAUCAUCUCUAGCCUCCCUCG